UACGUAGGGUGCAAGCGUUGUCCGGAAUUAUUGGGCGUAAAGAGCUCGUAGGCGGUCUGUCGCGUCGGCUGUGAAAACCCGGAGCUCAACUCCGGGCCUGCAGUCGAUACGGGCAGACUGGAGUCGGCAGGGGAGACUGGAAUUCCUGGUGUAGCGGUGAAAUGCGCAGAUAUCAGGAGGAACACCGGUGGCGAAGGCGGGUCUCUGGGCCGAUACUGACGUGAGGAGCGAAAGCGUGGGGAGCGAACAGG
rnacentral:rRNA from 1 species